CCAAUAGCGUAUAUUAAAGUUGUUGCAGUUAAAAAGCUCGUAGUUGAAUUUCGGGGUUAGUAGGUUGGUCAUGCCUCUGGUAUGUACUGGUCUCACUGAUUCCUCCUUCCUGAUGAGCCGUAAUGCCAUUAAUUUGGUGUUGCGGGGAAGUUGGACUGUUACUUUGAAAAAAUUAGAGUGUUUAAAGCAGGCUGACGCUUGAAUACAUUAGCAUGGAAUAAUGAAAUAGGACGUUCGAUUCUAUUUUGUUGGUUUCUAGGAUUGACGUAAUGAUUAAUAGGGAUAGUGUGGGGCAUCAGUAUUCAAUUGUCAGAGGUGAAAUUCUUGGAUUUAUUGAAGACUAACUACUGCGAAAGCAUUUGCCAAGGAUGUUUUCAUUAAUCAAGAACGAAAGUUAGGGGAUCGAAGACGAUCAGAUACCGUCGUAGUCUUAACCAUAAACUAUGCCGACUAGGGAUCGGAUGAUGUUAAUUUUUUAAUGACUCAUUCGGCGCCUUACG
rnacentral:rRNA from 1 species